rnacentral:misc_RNA from 1 species
UCCGGAUUAACUCCGGCAGUUUCCUUAGAGUUCUCAGCAUUACCUGUUAGCAACAAAGGAUGAGGGUUGCGCUCGUUGCGGGACUUAACCCAACAUCUCACGACACGAGCUGACGACAGCCAUGCAGCACCUGUGCACCUCCCACCCGAAGUGAAGAGACUGAUCUCUCAGUCUCAUAGAGGGCAUGUCAAGACCUGGUAAGGUUCUUCGCGUUGCCUCGAAUUAAACCACAUGUUCCACCGCUUGUGCGGGUCCCCGUCAAUUUCUUUGAGUUUUAACCUUGCGGCCGUACUCCCCAGGCGGGGUGCUUAACGCGUUAGCUACGCCACCGACUCAACCAAGAAAAGACAUGCAUUGCAUGCUUUGCUUAGUCGAGCCGACGGCUAGCACCCAUCGUUUA